rnacentral:rRNA from 1 species
CCUACGGGCGGCAGCAGUGGGGAAUAUUGGACAAUGGGGGCAACCCUGAUCCAGCCAUGCCGCGUGUGUGAAGAAGGCCCUCGGGUUGUAAAGCACUUUCAGUGAGGAAGAACGCCUGGUGGUUAAUACCCAUCAGGAAAGACAUCACUCACAGAAGAAGCACCGGCUAACUCCGUGCCAGCAGCCGCGGUAAUACGGAGGGUGCGAGCGUUAAUCGGAAUUACUGGGCGUAAAGCGCGCGUAGGUGGCUUGAUAAGCCGGUUGUGAAAGCCCCGGGCUCAACCUGGGAACGGCAUCCGGAACUGUCAAGCUAGAGUGCAGGAGAGGAAGGUAGAAUUCCCGGUGUAGCGGUGAAAUGCGUAGAGAUCGGGAGGAAUACCAGUGGCGAAGGCGGCCUUUUGGACUGACACUGACACUGAGGUGCGAAAGCGUGGGUAGCAAACAGGAUUAGAUACCCCAGUAGUC